GUCAAAGAGGUAGAUGUACAUCACUGAUCGGAAUGGAUUCCCUCCAGUCAAUGAGGUACGUGUACCUCAUUGACUGGAAGGAAACCCUUUCAAUCAAAGAGGUACAUCUACCUCAUCGAC
rnacentral:miRNA from 1 species